rnacentral:lncRNA from 1 species
CCACCCUUCGUGGACACGCCCUCUAGGCGUAAGGUUCCAUGCGAGCGGUAAGAGUGCGGCGGGACUUGGAAAUCGAAUCUGUGCUCUGUGAGAGAUCCUAGGAAAGGAAACUGGGAGCCCGGGAGAACUAAAAUUCCCAAUUAAAAGUGAAUUUAAAUCUGAGCUGUUCUUAGACCCAGAAUUUCUUGCCUGAAGGAGGAAUCAGGUCCCCACAAGGAAAGACCCUGCAACUGUAUAAAAAAAGAAUCUAAAAAGAUCAUGACUCCUUCAGUCCUUUCCCAAAGAGACCUAUGGAAAUUUCCUCAGGAGCACCCACAACAGAAUAGACAUUAAACAGCUGCAUAAACAAAUGACUCAGCCAGUUGAUGUCAGUCAGCCUGUGUCAACAGCCACCCCAAUGCUGGCACAAAAGGCACUAGAACAGAAUAGCCUGAUGGCAGAGAUGAAGUGUGCAUGGCUCCAGCAGCACGGACUCCUCUCAUUAAGGCUGAUCUAGCUACUGUUGCUGCCCCAUGUCUAACUUGCCAGCAACGGAGACCAAAGUUGAGCCCCGGAAUCAGCACCAUUCCUCAUAGAGACCAGCUAGUCACUGGGUGGAAGAGGGACCAAGCAAAACCCCAGAAGAGUUGAUCUCAAAGCUUAUUUUAUGAAGAAAAUUGACCUGAGUGACACAAAGGGUUGGACUGUAGUAGAUGUCACGUUUUGCUGCCUAGAUCUCCAUCCAGGGAUGAACUCUUAUUUCCUCAGCUUCUUUGUCUCCUCAGCUUCUGGGAGGGUUGGCAGCUGAUAUUCUCACCUGAGUCCCUUUCUAGGACUUGCCCUUGCCUGAAGAGAGCUGUGCUGCCCAACAUGAUGCCUCCUCCAAGGUACAAUCCACACCCAGUGACUAAUAAACAGGGGUUACAAAGGCAUGCCUGCUUGCCCCAGUUUGGGACAACUUUACCAGGCCAACCCAGCCUCAAGGCUCUCCACAGGAACAGGUGAGGCCAUAGUUGUGAUUACAUCACAGGGACCCUGAAAGCUGUGUCUAUGAAGUUAUUACAAGAUAUUGGCUACUGUGGUGCAUGGAGCUUCUAGGCCAGGGUGAUUCUCACACCUGCCUGAUGUGGAUCUUGUUGCUUCACACCUGAAACAUCAUUUGAGAAGCCCGGGAAGUGGUGUGGCUGCUGCAUGGCUGCUCCAAGAACUACUCCCAUGGGAGAGGAGCUCCCAACAGUGCCUUGCCAUCAAGCUUUGAUUUCUACCUUACAUACCUCUGAAUAAACUGUUGCCAAUGAGGCUGAUGGAAGUCUUGUGAGUUUGAAUGCCAGGUUGAACUUAAGAGGAUUCCCUGGUGAGCAUUGCAAGAUGGUAUACUCAAUGUUAUUAAUUUGUGGGGAGUUUAAUAAAAGUAUUGUUUAUAUUGAUGUGGGAAGGGUAUAGGGAAAUUACAAGGUAUGGUGCAGUGUCCCAAGAAUAGUAACAUGGGGCACUGAAAAGAUAGAGAAAGGAAAAGAAUGAGUGACCAGAACCUGGUGACAGAGCCACAGGGGAGGGCUGUCUGGCUGGAGCUGUGACUUACCAUUGAAGGACUCAGGAAGUUCUUUUUUUUCUUUAGACAGGGUCUCGCUCCGUCAUCUAGGCUGUCAUGCAGUGGUGUGAUCAUGACUCACUGCACCCUCAGCACACACCACCAUACUGGGCUAAUUUCUGUAUUUUUAUAGACAGGUUCUCACCAGGUUGCCCAGUCUGAUCUCAAAAUCCUGGGCUCAAGCAAUCUUCCUGCCUUGGCCUCCCAAAGUGCUGGGAUUAUAGGCAUAAGCCACUGCACCCAGCCCUCAGGCAGUUUUUAUUAAUUCUGCAGGAAGGGAGCUGGGAGAAUAAAAAUCCCGACCUCAUUUUCUUUCCUUCUUUUGUUCUCUUGCUUGAGCUUCCCAUGGAUGAACUGGAAGAAUUCAGAAAUUGAAUGAUAUAAAUAACAAAGUUAAAUUAAUAGACAUGUAUUGAACUUAGUUUUUAGAGUAUGUAUAAUUUUCCCAAUUUUCUGUGGAAUUAUUGCAAAAUUUGAUCACAAACUAUAAGGCUACAAUUUAAAAAUAUAACAAAUUCCUAACUGUAAAAAUUUUCUAGGUUAAAUUCUUUGAUCACAAAGCAGGCAAGAAAUGAAUGGUGGAACAAACUAAAAUACUAGCUCCAUGAAUGAAAAGACCUACAUGGAUAUGAGAGUAAUUAAGAAGGAGUUAGCAGCGAUGGGACUUUGUGAUUGACUGGAUAUAGACAAUGAGGAAUAUAGUGAAGGAAAGAUGAUUUCCUGAUUUCUGGCAUGGGCAGCUGAGUAGAUGGUUAUGCUAUAAACUAAGAAAAGAGAGAAGGAUAGGAAGAGAUGGGCCUGGAAGAGUAUGGAGUUUGAGAUGAGAAGAGAAAAUGGAAACUCUGAGGAGCACAGAAAAUUAAGGCCCAAGUGAAGAAAGAUGAGCUUGCAGGGAAGACUGGGUGAUGACAAGCGGUGUAGGAGAGAAUCCGGGUACUCUGUUUUGCUGAAAUGAGAAAGACGGACAUACAGAUGCAUAUAAAGGCAUAUAGAGGCAGAUAUAUUUAUAUUUGAGGAAGUCUGGACAUUGAGUAAGUUAGUGCUGAUAACUUCUAGUUUCUUAGUUAAGAAAGAGAUGAGGUUAUCUAUACGGAGUAAGGAGGAACGUGGUGGUGCCGUUGCUACUACGGUGUAAUACGUCACUACUAUUACUAUUAAUUAUGGUGUAAUACCUAAAACGUAGUGGCUUGAAAUAACAAUAAUUAUCUUUUAUCUCUCACAGUUUCUCUGGGUCAGAAAUUUGAGGAUAAGGUGGUGAAUGAUUCUGGCUCAAGGUCUCCCAUAUUGUUGUGAUCAGUGGCUGGAGCCAGAACAGCAGAGGGCUUAGAGAAUCUAGGGAUUGGUCAGAUGUCGCUUUCGUUUUAUCUGGCUUUGAGACCUCUCCAAUGUGAGCUAAUUUAGGCUUCCUCAUAGCGUGGUAACCUCAAGGUAUGUGAACCGUGUAGCGGUUGACGCUUCCAAGAACAAGUAUUCUAGCAGGCAAGGUUCAUCUUUUAUGCUUUAGGCAUGGAAAUUACAUAGCGUCACUUUCCCUAAAAUGAGAAAGGAUAUAGCAUGUUUGGACAGUACGAACCAGUAUCACCUAAUUGACAUUAAUAGACCAUCCUAUCCAGCAAUGGCAGAAUACAUAUUUCAAGUGUAGAUGGAACAUUCACCAAGGCAGAUCAUAUUCUGGGCCAUGUACAAAAAAAACUGAGAAAUUUAAAAGGAUUAAAAUUACAGAAAGCAUGCUCUCUGACCACAGUGGAAUUAAGCUAGAAAUAGAAAACAAAAAAUUAUAUAGAAAAUCCCCAAAUAUUUGGAAAUUUUUUAUUUUUGAUUUUUUAAAAUUGUGUUUUUUAACCAAUGAAAAAUAAUUGUAUUAUCUGUGGAGUACAUAGUGUUGUUUCAAUACAUAUAAAGUAUAGUGAUCAGAUCAUGGAUAUUAGCAUAUCAGUCAUUCCAGACAUCUAUAAUUUUUGUGUAGGGAACCUUCAAUAUUAUCUUCCAGCUAUUUGAAACUACAUAAUAUAUUAUGGUUAAUUACAGUUUUUCUAUUGUGGUAUAGAAAUUAGAUAAUAUACUCUUUUAAAGUCCAUGGGACACAAUGAAAAAUAAUUAGAAAAAUUAGAACAUACUUUGAACUGAUUGAAAAUUAAAACACAACAUAUCAAAAUUUGUGAGAUGCAGCUAAAGCAGUACCUACUGAAAAAUGUAUGGGAUUAGAUACUUAAAAAGUAGAUGUUAAACCAAUGUCCUAAGCUUCUGCCUCAAGAAACUUAAAAAAAGAGCAAGCAAAGUAAAUCCAAAACAAGUAAGGGAACAAUAAAGAUAAGAUUAGAAAUCAAUAUAGUAGAAAAAAGGGAAUUAUAGAUACAACCAAAGAAACAAAAAAACUGGUGAUUUGAAAAUAGCAAUAAUAUUGAUAUAGGCCUCUGAUCAGACUCAUCAAGAACAAAAGAAAUAAUAUACACACUACCAACAUCAGGAAUGAAUUUGUAGGAACAUUCCUACAAAUCCUACAGACACUAAAAUACAAUAAGAAAAUAUUAUAAACAAUUUAUGCUUAUAAAUUUCAUUACCUAGGUGAAAAGUACAAAUUUUUUCAAUGAUUCAAACUGUCAAAGGUCACUCAAGAUGAAAUAGAUAACCUGAAUAGCCCUGUAUCUAUUAGAGUAAUUGCAUUCAUAGUUUAAGAUCUCCUUUCAAAUAAAUUCCAGACUAGAUGGCUUCUCUGGUGAAUUUUACCAGACAUUUAAGAAAGAAACAAUGUGGCCGGGCCCAGUGGCUCACAUCUGCAAUUCCAGCAUUUUGGGAGGCUGAGGCGGAUGGAUCGCC